rnacentral:rRNA from 1 species
UGCCAGACUCCUACGGGAGGCAGCAGUGAGGAAUAUUGGGCAAUGGGCGCGAGCCUGAACCAGCCAAGUCGCGUGAGGGAUGACGGCCCUACGGGUUGUAAACCUCUUUUGUCGGGGAGCAAAUUCCGCCACGUGUGGCGGAGUCGAGAGUACCCGAAGAAAAAGCAUCGGCUAACUCCGUGCCAGCAGCCGCGGUAAUACGGAGGAUGCGAGCGUUAUCCGGAUUUACUGGGUGUAAAGGGAGCGUAGGCGGUUUAGCAAGUCAGAAGUGAAAGCCCGGGGCUCAACUCCGGGACUGCUUUUGAAACUGAGUAGCUAGAGUGCAGGAGAGGUAAGCGGAAUUCCUAGUGUAGCGGUGAAAUGCGUAGAUAUUAGGAGGAACACCAGUGGCGAAGGCGGCUUACUGGACUGUAACUGACGUUGAGGCUCGAAAGCGUGGGGAGCAAACAGGAUUAGAUACCCCAGUAA